UAGGGAAUCUUCCACAAUGGGCGAAAGCCUGAUGGAGCAACGCCGCGUGUGUGAUGAAGGGUUUCGGCUCGUAAAACACUGUUGUAAGAGAAGAAUGACAUUGAGAGUAACUGUUCAAUGUGUGACGGUAUCUUACCAGAAAAGGAACGGCUAAAUACGUGCCAC
rnacentral:rRNA from 1 species